rnacentral:rRNA from 1 species
UACAGAGGGUGCGAGCGUUAAUCGGAAUUACUGGGCGUAAAGGGCGCGUAGGUGGAUCAGAAAGUUGGGUGUGAAAUCCCUGGGCUUAACCUAGGAACUGCAUUCAAAACUUCUAGUCUAGAGUAUAGUAGAGGGAAGUGGAAUUUCCGGUGUAGCGGUGAAAUGCGUAGAGAUCGGAAGGAACACCAGUGGCGAAGGCGGCUUCCUGGACCGAGAUUGACGCUGAUGAGCGAAAGCUAGGGGAGCAAACGGG